ensembl:lncRNA
GUAACUAUAGAGACCUUUGGGUUUAGGCUGGGUAACUAUAGAGACCUUUAGGCUGGGUAACUACAGAGACCUUUGGGUUUAGGCUGGGUAACUAUAGAGACCUUUGGGUUUAGGCUGGGUAACUAUAGAGACCUUUGGGUUUAGGCUGGGUAACUAUAGAGACCUUUAGGCUGGGUAACUAUAGAGACCUUUGGGUUUAGGCUGGGUAACUAUAGAGACCUUUGUGUUUAGGCUGGGUAACUAUAGAGACCUUUGUGUUUAGGCUGGGUAACUAUAGAAACCUUUAGGCUGGGUAACUACAGAGACCUUUGGGUUUAGGCUGGGUAACUAUAGAGACCUUUGGGUUUAGGCUGGGUAACUAUAGAGACCUUUGGGUUUAGGCUGGGUAACUAUAGAGACCUUUAGGUUUAGGCUGGGUAACUGUAGAGCUCUUUAGGUUUAGGCUGGGUAAAUGUAGAGCCCAUUAGGUUUAGGGUUAGGGUUAGGGUUAGGCUGGGUAACUAUAGAGACCUUUAGGUUUAGGCUGGGUAACUACAGAGACCUUUAGGUUUAGGCUGGGUAACUAUAGAGACCUUUAGGUUUAGGCUGGGUAACUACAGAGACCUUUAGGUUUAGGCUGGGUAACUAUAGAGACCUUUAGGUUUAGGCUGGGUAACUAUAGAGACCUUUAGGCUGGGUAACUACAGAGACCUUUAGGCUGGGUAACUAUAGAGACCUUUGGGUUUAGGCUGGGUAACUAUAGAGACCUUUAGGUUUAGGCUGGGUAACUAUAGAGACCUUUGGGUUUAGGCUGGGUAACUAUAGAGACCUUUAGGUUUAGGCUGGGUAACUAUAGAGACCUUUAGGUUUAGGCUGGGUAACUACAGAGACCUUUAGGCUGGGUAACUAUAGAGACCUUUAGGUUUAGGCUGGGUAACUAUAGAGACCUUUGGGUUUAGGCUGGGUAACUAUAGAGACCUUUAGGUUUAGGCUGGGUGACUAUAGAGACCUUUGGGUUUAGGCUAGGUAACUAUAGAGACCUUUAGGCUGGGUAACUAUAGAGACCUUUAGGUUUAGGCUGGGUAACUAUAGAGACCUUUAGGUUUAGGCUGGGUAACUAUAGAGACCUUUAGGCUGGGUAGCUACAGAGACCUUUAGGUUUAGGCUGGGUAACUAUAGAGACCUUUAGGCUGGGUAACUACAGAGACCUUUGGGUUUAGGCUGGGUAACUACAGAGACCUUUAGGUUUAGGCUGGGUAACUAUAGAGACCUUUAGGUUUAGGCUGGGUAACUACAGAGACCUUUAGGUUUAGUCUGGGUAACUACAGAGACCUUUGGGUUUAGGCUGGGUAACUACAGAGACCUUUGGGUUUAGGCUGGGUAACUAUAGAGACCUUUAGGCUGGGUAACUAUAGAGACCUUUAGGUUUAGGCUGGGUAACUAUAGAGACCUGUAGGUUUAGGCUGGGUAACUAUAGAGACCUGUAGGUUUAGGCUGGGUAACUACAGAGACCUUUAGGUUUAGUCUGGGUAACUACAGAGACCUUUGGGUUUAGGCUGGGUAACUACAGAGACCUUUGGGUUUAGGCUGGGUAACUAUAGAGACCUUUAGGUUUAGGCUGGGUAACUAUAGAGACCUGUAGGUUUAGGCUGGGUAACUAUAGAGACCUGUAGGUUUAGGCUGGGUAACUAUAGAGACCUGUAGGUUUAGGCUGGGUAACUACAGAGACCUUUAGGUUUAGUCUGGGUAACUAUAGAGACCUUUGUGACAAAAAUACUUCUGAUGUAAAAAAAACAAAAGGGCCUUCUAAAAUAAAAAUGGAUUGAUUGAGGAACCUAGAAACAAGCUAUUAAGGCCAGUCCAUGACACGUGCUUGCACAGUGUGUAGCUGUAACACACAGUGAUGUUCUCUGUAGCCCAUCUGGAGUGUUAUUGAUGUGUGAUCACUGGUGAUGAAGAGGUAACGUGGAACCACACCUUUUUACUGGCUGCCUUCAGUCUCUGCAGCUGCAGUAUGGCUGCAUCCUUCGACAGCAGCUCCACAUCUUCCUCUAUCUUAGACUGGGGAAAUAAAACACAAUAAGUUUUAAAAAGAUAUAUUAGGUUGUCGUUCAUUACCUCAUGCUGACCUGUCCCCGUGUGGUUGUUUAAUUGCGGUUGAAGCAUGUUUUAACGUCCUUUUGUGUUUGAUUGUCAGCGCCGUCCUGUGUUUACCUCAUUCACUGGCUUCCCAGCAGCUUCCUGGUUUAGCUUUUCACAGAUGUUUACCUGCAAUCAAUCAAUCAGCCAAUCAAACAAUCAGCCAAUCAAACAAUCAGCCAAUCAAACAAUCAGCCAAUCAAACAUUCGUAUCUAUUAAAAAAAAUGUUUUUCAAACUUGUACUUUGUCAGAUGUUGUCAUAAAUUGCUUUGACAGAUUUAGUGUGAGAGUCUUCUAAACAGACACUAGCUGGGUUACAGAGCAGUGUAACAUAAUCACUGAAACACAAAAAAAGGGGCCACAGGAAAUCCUGUCUGUGUUUGAGUCUCUACCGUCACAGAGAGGUGGUUCAUGCAAUUCACAUAGGAAGUGUCCCCCCAAAACAAAUGGCACCCUAUUUCAUAUAUAGUGCACUACUUUUAACCAGAGCCCUAUGGACCCUGGUCAAAAGUAGUGCACUAUGUAGGGAAUAGGGUGCCAUUUGGGAGGCAGUUCUAAUGUUUGAGACACUUACUGGGUGAACGCAUUCCUUCACUUCAUCCAGCAGGCCUCCGAGGUCAGGAUAAUUUCUGUCUUGUCUCUGGAGAACUUCCCGAUAAAAGUCCAGGAUUUUGAGCAGGACACAGCCGUGGUACUGGACAUGAGAGAGAACAGGAGACAUUGUGUUUUA